rnacentral:tRNA from 1 species
GGGAUUUUAGUUUAAAUGAAAACCUUAAUAUUGCUAAUUAAAAAUAUAGAAACAACUUCUAUAAAUUCCA